CAAUCACAGACACUCCUGUAUCCACUUCGCCAGUUGUGAGACUGGGGUCCAUCACACUUGCUACCCCUUUCCUUCCCCCUGCCGUUUGAAGCUCAGACUAACUCCCUCACAGUACUGAGAUUCCGGAGUAAAGCCUGAGAAGUGGAGCUGUACCCAGAACAACCUCCCUCCAUUAAGGGUCCUUGGCUACAGGCUGGCCAAAGAGAAGUUGUCUCCAAAGACUGACCAGCGCCAGGCGUGGUGGCGCGCGCCUUUAGGAGGAUCACCGUGAGUUCAAGGCCACCCUGAGACUACAUAGUAAAUUCCAGGUCAGCCUGGGCUAGAGUGAGACCCUACCUCAGUAAAAACAAAAAUAAAUAAAAAGUCUGACCAGCAAGAACUAGAAAGCCCUGGGAUAUAGUUGAACUCUUCCUUAAAGAGGAUACAGGAGGGCUGGAAAGAUGGCCUAUUCGUUAAGGCACUUUCCUGCAAAGCCAAAGGACCCAGAUUUGAUUCCCCAGGACCCAGGUUCCACAGGCGUGCACCUUAACCGCUAAGUCAUCUCUCCAGCCCUCAGCCAGCAUUCUUGAAAGAAAAGACAGACACAGGAGCAGCAGGUAGUUGGACAGGUGGUCUGGCCUUAUUUAUGGCAUCCCUUGGAUCUAUUGCUAUCCUCAUACAGCACCCAACCAGAGGCCCAGGCCAAGGCUUAUGCCAGACCCCAGCAGGAUCAGAAGAACCCACUGAUGAGCCAGAGCUACUUCCUGUGGUCUUGACCAAGCCCAAACCAGACAUGGCUGUCUGCGAGUGUCCUCCAGACACUGGACCCCACGGGUGAGACACUGUGGGGCCUUCAGGACUGCACCAGAGCUUGACUUUGCCUAAAAAAGGAAGCAGUGCAGCUAAGCCUGAGCAGCUUACUGCAGGAACAAGCUAGAGCUGUGUCCCCACCACCGUCCCCCACCC